rnacentral:rRNA from 1 species
UUGAACGCUGGCGGCAGGCCUAACACAUGCAAGUCGAACGGUAACAGGAAGAAGCUUGCUUCUUUGCUGACGAGUGGCGGACGGGUGAGUAAUGUCUGGGAAACUGCCUGAUGGAGGGGGAUAACUACUGGAAACGGUAGCUAAUACCGCAUAACGUCGCAAGACCAAAGAGGGGGACCUUCGGGCCUCUUGCCAUCGGAUGUGCCCAGAUGGGAUUAGCUAGUAGGUGGGGUAACGGCUCACCUAGGCGACGAUCCCUAGCUGGUCUGAGAGGAUGACCAGCCACACUGGAACUGAGACACGGUCCAGACUCCUACGGGAGGCAGCAGUGGGGAAUAUUGCACAAUGGGCGCAAGCCUGAUGCAGCCAUGCCGCGUGUAUGAAGAAGGCCUUCGGGUUGUAAAGUACUUUCAGCGGGGAGGAAGGGAGUAAAGUUAAUACCUUUGCUCAUUGACGUUACCCGCAGAAGAAGCACCGGCUAACUCCGUGCCAGCAGCCGCGGUAAUACGGAGGGUGCAAGCGUUAAUCGGAAUUACUGGGCGUAAAGCGCACGCAGGCGGUUUGUUAAGUCAGAUGUGAAAUCCCCGGGCUCAACCUGGGAACUGCAUCUGAUACUGGCAAGCUUGAGUCUCGUAGAGGGGGGUAGAAUUCCAGGUGUAGCGGUGAAAUGCGUAGAGAUCUGGAGGAAUACCGGUGGCGAAGGCGGCCCCCUGGACGAAGACUGACGCUCAGGUGCGAAAGCGUGGGGAGCAAACAGGAUUAGAUACCCUGGUAGUCCACGCCGUAAACGAUGUCGACUUGGAGGUUGUGCCCUUGAGGCGUGGCUUCCGGAGCUAACGCGUUAAGUCGACCGCCUGGGGAGUACGGCCGCAAGGUUAAAACUCAAAUGAAUUGACGGGGGCCCGCACAAGCGGUGGAGCAUGUGGUUUAAUUCGAUGCAACGCGAAGAACCUUACCUGGUCUUGACAUCCACGGAAGUUUUCAGAGAUGAGAAUGUGCCUUCGGGAACCGUGAGACAGGUGCUGCAUGGCUGUCGUCAGCUCGUGUUGUGAAUGUUGGGUUAAGUCCCGCAGCGAGCGCAACCCUUAUCCUUUGUUGCCAGCGGUCCGGCCGGGAACUCAAAGGAGACUGCCAGUGAUAAACUGGAGGAAGGUGAGGAUGACGUCAAGUCAUCAUGGCCCUUACGACCAGGGCUACACACGUGCUACAAUGGCGCAUACAAAGAGAAGCGACCUCGCGAGAGCAAGCGGACCUCAUAAAGUGCGUCGUAGUCCGGAUUGGAGUCUGCAACUCGACUCCAUGAAGUCGGAAUCGCUAGUAAUCGUGGAUCAGAAUGCCACGGUGAAUACGUUCCCGGGCCUUGUACACACCGCCCGUCACACCAUGGGAGUGGGUUGCAAAAGAAGUAGGUAGCUUAACCUUCGGGAGGGCGCUUACCACUUUGUGAUUCAUGACUGGGGUG